ACUCCUACGGGAGGCAGCAGUUGGGAAUCUUGGACAAUGGGGGAAACCCUGAUCCAGCCAUGCCGCGUGAGUGAUGAAGGCCUUCGGGUUGUAAAACUCUUUCGACGGGGACGAUAAUGACGGUACCCGUAGAAGAAGCUCCGGCUAACUUCGUGCCAGCAGCCGCGGUAAUACGAAGGGGGCUAGCGUUGUUCGGAAUUACUGGGCGUAAAGCGCGCGCAGGCGGUCUUCCAAGUCAGUGGUGAAAGCCCGGAGCUCAACUCCGGAACUGCCAUUGAAACUGUUGGACUUGAGGAUGAGAGAGGUGAGUGGAAUUCCCAGUGUAGAGGUGAAAUUCGUAGAUAUUGGGAAGAACACCGGUGGCGAAGGCGGCUCACUGGCUCAUUACUGACGCUCAGGCGCGACAGCGUGGGGAUCAAACAGGAUUAGAUACCCUGGUAGUCCACGCCGUAAACGAUGAAUGCUAGCCGUUGGGCAGCUUGCUGUUCAGUGGCGCAGCUAACGCAUUAAGCAUUCCGCCUGGGGAGUACGGCCGCAAGGUUGAAACUUAAAGGAAUUGACGG
rnacentral:rRNA from 1 species